rnacentral:lncRNA from 1 species
CGAGCGCAUGCAGCAGCGUCAAUAUUAGUUUAGUCUAUCGUUCGACGCGAGGCUACUUUUGCACUGUUCCUAUCGAGAUAUGUAUCUUUAGAAGCGGAGUCUGCAAGUCCGAAAAUGAGUCCACGUUCUCUGGGGGCGAUCACUCAAAGGUGGAUAUUUCAACGAAGCUCGACGAAGCAACAUGAAAUCAUUGGGCAAAACGAGGUGGCACUGAUGGGCGAGUCACUUCUGUCUCUGAUUCACGAUUCAACAAUUGGUGGGACGAGUUCAACGCGAUCGGUUCCAAUUUGUAGAAUCGAAUAUUUGCCGUCGAAAUCGAAUACAACGAAGCAAAAAACAAAAAAAAAACAAGUUAAUACGAGUUAAAGAAUCUUUCAAAUGUAAGCAAAGUAACGAAGUAUCGAUCCGAAGGAAUAACGCAGAGCGAGUGAAGGAUGAUGAUCGUCUCCAUCAGAACAUUUUCCCGAUGGAAAAUAACCUCUAAAUGAAAAUCAUUUUAAUUGAAUGAAAAUAUAAUCGAGCUAAUUGUCCGAAUCGAUUUUUCGAGGACAUCAAGAUUUGCUGAUGACUUCAACAUUAUUAUUUGCCUCUACAGUGUCCCCAAAAGGAUACCAAGAGCAGUGAAUUCCUGAUAAAAUUGAUAAGGCUAUUCUAUGAAUACGUAAAAUCUCUGAUCCAUUGCCGUUUACAAUUAGCAGCAGUUUUAAUUGAAAUUGAUUCCAGCUAACCGAAUAUGGCCAAAGUUGAUUAAGAACGAAUUAAAAUGCAUGGGAAGAAUCGCAAUGAAAAGGGUAAUAUUGAUACGUUUGCGAGCUGAACGUGAAUCAGUGUGCGAACAUUGAAAUUCAAUAGACAGGAUAUUCUAUACCGUGUUUCACGAGUAUUUCCCUUGAAAAUCCGACGAGGGUACUUUCAUCGACCGCACCUCUGCAAAAUACGAUAUAAAAGCAAAUAAUCUCGGUAAAGUUUAAUCUUGAUGAAGCGUUAUAAACUGAUUUUCGACCGGUGGAUUUAACUUUUUAUUAUUUAUCUCUUUUCGGAUUAACGAGCUAAUUACGCCGGACUGUGAAUGGACUUUGGUAGAUUCGAGUUCGAGUUUCAUUGAAAAUUCUUGAUCCAUGGAAACGCAAAGCAGGCCGAAAUGAGAUUGGACUAGAAUAUUCGAUGGAAAAUAUUCCCGCAAGCUCGUUAUUCGAUCACUGAAUACCAAUCGAUAUAUUUUUCACGUUUGUAACGUAAUGCCAAUCCCGCAAGAGACUCGACGCUAAUAUAUUCAUAACGAUACUGCUGAAAGAAAAAAAACUAUCGCGUUCGUAUGUCUGUGCACUCGUACGAAUGCACCACUUGAAAAUAUCAGGUUGCAACAACGGCUCUUGCAAUUGCAUUUAUAGCUGAUUAUCAAUCCGAACGAAGAAACCGUAUUGGCGAUGCGCAUAUCAAUAACUGACUGUUCCAAACAAGAUGAUUAUCACUGAUACACGGUUCGACUCAUCUUGAUCGAUCUUGCGAACAAUGCACACGUGAAAUAUCGACCUUUUUCUAAACGGAUUCUCGCUGACUCAUUUCCAUUCGGGGUAAACAGGUUGUGAACAAUAUUUUUGAGAGCUGACUGAACGAUAUUUAUAUUUUUUUCGAACGAGCAUGAUCGUUGAUUGAUUGUGUAUGAAGAAGG